AGAGACUGGACUGCGCCUGCGGCAAGGAAGGACGGAGCAGAGCCACCUGAGGCCGAGCGGGAGCCAGACCCAGGGAUGACCGUCCUGGGGAGCCCCUCUGCACCCCGGAGGGGACGCAGGACGCCCGGAGCAGUCCCAGGCCCUGCCCCUCGCUUCACCCACGGAGCUCCUAGGUCUCUAUCGUGCCCAUCGUACCCGCUGCCCUGCACUUCCGCCCCAAGCUGGUGGAGGAGGGAGGGUGUCGCAGACACGGGAGCGCCGCGGACCUCCUACAGUCACCGUCCUGCGGCGCAUCGCGGGUGACCCAACAGCCUCCCGCUGCUCCCGAAAGUGGGACGGGGCCGGCGGAUCAUCCUCCAAGCCGGGGGCGGCCACAGGCCCGAUCAAUGCCAGGAUUCCUCCGACUCCAAGAAAGGCGACGGGGAGAAGCAGGAGGACUCGGAUGACUCCGGCACCAGGGAGGAGGGCGCCCGGGCCUCGCCGUCGCCAGGGCGGUCGGGACGGGGGGUGGCGGGCGGCGCGGGGCAGGGCCCGGUGCCCGGGAGGCCGCGGGAAGCGGGGGGCGUCGAGCCGUCGGGGGCCGAGCUCAGCAGCUCUUGCAGGUACUUUAUGUAGCGGAUGGCGGCGCGCAGCGUCUCCACCUUGCUGAGUCGCUUCUCAGCCAGGGCGCCGGGGAGGUGGCCGCGGAGGCGAGCGUAGCCCUCGUUGACGCACUUGACUCGCUGCCUCUCGCGCUCGUUGCGCUUCUGGAUGAAGGCUGGCUCGAAGGGGUAUUCGUAGACCCCGAAGGCGCCGGGGAAGGGCACGUAGGGGAACACCCCCGCAUAGGCGUCGUAGUAGGGCGGCUCUGCUGGGCCCGGGUACAGCAGGAAGGGCACGUUGCCCAGGGGCUCGGCGGGGGGCAGGGGCGCCUGCCGGGGAGGGGGCAUGACGCCCAGCUGCAUGCAGCUGGGGGGCCCCAGAGGCCUCCGGUCCACCAGAGCCCGGCAGAAGUUAUUGUUCAUGGUGCCGCGUGGAGCUGGACCCAGAGCGAGGCCUCCACCGAAUGGCCCCGGCUUGGGGUCUGCACCGUCUCCACCAGUGGGGCAAGUCACAUCGCUAGCAGCAGCUCUUGGGUACCAGGACUUGCUAGGGCCUCUUUUCGCCCUUUAGGGUGGCUUCCAAUGACUCCCUAACAAGAGCCAUCGCCCUAGACAAGUGUGGCCCCUCUCAGGAGGUCGGUGCACGCCUUCUCAGAGCCAGCCCAUGGCGCCGCGGAACUCUGAGGGCCCGCACCCCGUUCCGCAGCACCCAUGGGCAUGGCCACAGACCCGCCCACCCUGCCUCUUGCUGCCACCCAACAUGGGCACCUCAGGCCUAAACCACGGGCUCCAUGUCCUCCACACCCACCCCAGCGCCUGGUCCUUGGUCCUCGCGGCCUUCGGGAUCCCCGGGCUGUCCGGGGUCCCCAAACUGAUGGCUGCUGUUAGGAGUGCGCCAGCUCAGUGGAGGGAGUCCCCGGGAACAUUUCUAAAGAAGAGGAGAGGAGAGUGAACAUAUCAGUUAGGAAAGACCUGUAUUAUGGGCUUCUUUGUAUCAUCCCCACCCGCAAACGGGAUUGUAAGCCUCAUGAGGAGAGGCGGUUGGCUACUGAAGGGGCACAGAUCUGGGUUAAAAUCUUGUGUCCACUCCUUAAUAGUCGGGUGACCACUCUGAGUCGUGGUUUCCAUAACGGAAGGGCAAGGGAAACAUCCUUGACAGGAAAUUAAUAAGAUAUGAGAAUCAAAUGUGAAAAAAUAUAUGCAAAAAACACCUCCUAAAGGUCAUAGCUUAUAAAAAUGCCCAGUUUUGUCAUGUCCCUUGAGACUGGGGGAUUAAGUCUCAUCACUGAUCCCUUCCGGGGUCUUACAUCUAGAAGCGGGUCUGAGACUGCUUAUUGGAUUAGCAGCAGCAGCCAUCAGCCAAUGAGGGAAGCCAACUCUUUAUGGAAAGGAAUGCCUCUUUGAUAACAAGGUAGGUGUUGCUGGUCCAUUCAAAGCCCUCUGCCUGGCAGAGACAGUCAUCAAAGCCUUCCCUGCCCCAGUCCCUGUGGUCUGGGAUACACCCUCUCACCCCACCCUGGGUUUCUCCAUGGCACCUAAUGGAGCUGUCUAUUCUUUCACCUGUAUGCCCUGAGCCUAGCCCAGCCCCUGUUGAGUAUUAGAUGCUCCACAAAUACAUGUGGAAUAACAGAGAGAGGAUUAGGCAGAAAGCUGGGUUUGUCAGGGUGGGACUGAUUACACGUAGCCUUUCAUAGGCUUUAGGAAGUUGUUAUUUCAGAAAUAAUUGGUGUGUGUUGAGUUUAGGUGCCACCAAGCUUCAUUGCAUGUGGUUAUCAGAUCCAAGUUAGGUGCCAUUUUGUCUAGGAAGCCUCUCUGAUCGCACUCCCCCCUCUUGUGUGUGUCUACAGUGUUCCAUAAGUGCCAUCUUAGCACUUAUCACACUACUCUAUUAUUUUUUCCCUCUUCAUAAAAGAUGAUCAGGACUUAGCGAGUGAGUGAGUGAUGGGCAGCAUGACACCUUGGCCACUGGGCACGGCCUCUCCAAGAGACAGAAAGGAGCUAGCUCUCUCCCUGACAGGAGGAGGUGGUGGCAAACUCAGAUUCCCGAGAAUGUCUCCUUCUGCACCCUCUCACCUCUGUCCUUUUUGCAGGCCCUGAGUCUGUUUCCAGCUAGCUUUGUCCUCCACACUAAAUGAGGACCAAGAAAAAUCAACAAUGAUUCUAAGCGUCAUGGAGACUUAGGUAUGCUCUCAAAAGUGAAACCAGGCCGGGCAUGGUGGCUCACGCCUGUAGUCCCAGCACUUUGGGAGGCUGAGGUGGGCAGAUCACUUGAGGACAGGAGUUCGAGACCAGCCUGGCCAACAUGAUGAAACCCUGUCUCUACUAAAAAUACAAAAACUAGCUGGGUGGAAUGGUGGGUGCCUGUAAUCCCAGCUAAUUGGGAGGCUGAGACAGAAGAAUCGCCUGAACCUGGGAGGUGGAGGGUGCAGUGAACCAAGAUCAUGCCACUGCAUUCCAGCCUGGAUGACAGAGCAAGACUCCAUUAAAAAAAAAAGAGUGAAACCAAAUGUCUGAGAAUUCAGGACAAAUUCACAUAUCCCUCCCCUUCUCAGUGGCCUUCAAAGCCUCCCCGUUGCUUUCAAGAGAAGGUUCUAGAAAAUGUCUCCCAAACAGACCUUCAGAUCUCUCAGGUCAAUCUUCUCUGGAACUCUUUGCUUUCCGGAUCUCACACUUGGCUUGUGCUGGCUCCGGUCCUGGGGGCCCUCUCUACAUCUCUCUGCUUUACCCAGAGUCCUGCCAUCCUUGAUUCCAGCUCCUGCCCAUCCUGACUGCCUGAGCGCUCCGGCUUCCAACAUGGGUUGUGCAUUCUAAGAUGGCACAUUCUCUUUAAGGUUGUGCAUUCUAUGUCUUCAACCAGAAUGUAAGCAGUCGGAAGGCAGGGGCUAGGGCUUUUAUUUCUCAGGUAACACCUAUCAGUCCCUUGCUCAAAAUGAUUUUCUAGCGGUUCUCUUUUAUUGUACAAAUUUGGGAUCCAGACUACACUCUCCCAUAUGAUCCCUGUCUAUUCAUAUUUGACUUAAUUAUUUAAAUUUAAUUUGAUAGGGGUCAGAAGUUUAUGACAAUUUUAACAAGUACAACUUACUAUUUGUUCAUGUUGAUUUAAUAUUCAUAACUUAUUUAUUUUCCUCAUAUACUAUUUACCUUUUUUCAUACAACAAUUCAGAAAGGUGAUUCAAACAAGAAACUUCACAGCAGGACUAUGUAUUUCUUAAGCCAAUUCUGUCUUUACUGUUAGAAAAGAACUGAUAAGCCAGGCGAGGUGGCUCAUGCCUGUAAUCCCGGCACUUUGUGAGGCCAAGGAGGGAGGAUCACUUGAGCCCAGGAGUUUGAGACCAGCCUGAGCAACAUGGCAAAACCCUGUCUCUACAAAAAAUUAAAAAAAUUAGCAGGGUUUGGUGGCAUGUGCCUGUGGUCUCAGCUACUCAGGGGGAGGCUGAGUAGGGGAGGAUGGCUUAAGCCCAGGAGGCAGAUGUUGCAGUGAGCUGAGGCUGCACCACUGCACUCCAGCCUGGGCAACAGAGCAAGACCCUGUCUCAAGAAAAAAAAAAAAAAAGAGAACUCAUAACCUAUCUGCAAGAUACCAUAGGGGGGUACACAGCUGCAAGGGAAUUGUGUUCUGCAUCUAUCACUGAAUACCAGAAGCUGAGGAACACAGUGUAGCAUAUGACCAUUAAGCGGCGUGAUUUUCAUUCAGUAAAUAUGUACAGAGGGUCCUGGAUAUCCUGGGACUGCUCUAGGUACUAGGAUAGAACAGCAAACAAACAUUGUAGUGAAAUAAUAAUAAUAAUGAUAAUCAUAGCUACACUUAUUAUUCAUGAUGUGCAAGACCUCAUGCUAAGAGCCUGAUGUGAAUCAUCUCAUUUAAUUUUCACGCCAUCCUUGAGAGGUAGGUGCUAAUAUUGUCUGGUUUUACGGGUGAGAAACUUGAGGCACAUGAAGGGUAAGUCACUUUUUAAAGGCCCACUGUUAGGAAUUCAUGAACUAAUAAAGGUUAAUCCACCACCUCAGUUUCCCACCUCUUCCCUCAGUAUUUCUACUAGUGGCUUCUCAUCUGAUCAAAGGAACAGAGAGGUUUACACUGACCUAACAAAAGGAUCUUAGUAAAUUAUUCCUGCUGGAGAGGAAUUACAAUUAUAAUGAUAAUUCCUGGAGGGGAUGUCCCGCUGAAGAUUCCAAUUAUAAUGCUGUUAUUUAGCUUCUGCUAAGAGAAGAACUAAAGGUCACCCCGGUCAUCUUUUGGGAGGGUAGCACCCCCUUGAAGAUGUGUUUGGAGGGUGGCCCAUGGAGUUCUGCUGCUGGGAAGAUACAGACUGGAGUAUCAUCAGACUGAGUCAAGCAGCAGGAGCCCCCUUGCCUGAGCUUAGAAAACCUGAGCAAAGGCCCCAGGAGGAUCUAUCAGUAGCAGGGAACCUACUCAUCGGCUAAGUUCAUGGGACUGGGCAGAACCAGCUAUCAAUAGCGCCACGGUGUGGUGGUGAGACGCAGUGGCGGCAACAGAUUGAUGAAAUUCGCAUCCCGACCCCACGGGUGUCGAAGUCAUCACUUCCUGUGACAGCUCCCUUUGGGGACUGUGGGUCCCUAGGUCUCCUGGAAAAUUCAGGGUAAGAGAAGACCCCUUAGGAAAAGCUACUGAGUUUUCUGUCAACAUCUACUAAUUUUCUCCCUGUGUUUGUGAAGCAAUUCGUAUCACUUAAACUUUCACUAUGUACACAUACAUAAAAUAUGUAUUAAUACAAUUAGAUGUAUUUUGUUGUUUUGAAUUAAAAAUAGCAGUUGCAUCAGCAUUAGGCAACUUACUAGAUAAAAAUGUGACUCUGAAACAGUGGAAGAGCUUUUCCUCUACUCUUAGCCCCCAUGGUGACUGCUGAAAGAGCUAGUUGAGUGAACCCAUUGAUUGCAUUGAGUAGGCACAGACUAUUAGUUGCAGGCAAUGCUGUCCACCUUUUUAAGGGGCCCUGGUUCCUCUCUGGGACCAGAGCCACUCCUUGCCCUCAGCAACCCCAUUCAUUACCAGCUGUACUCUAGUUUACUUUGCCCUGGGAAGCAGCCGAGCAGAUGUGCUUGGCAGGAAGUAACUGCUGUUCCUCCCCAGAGCUUUCUUCGUGGUGCAAGCUACACUGAGCUGUUAGGCCUGCAGUCUACGCUCAGUUGUACCAUGUACAGUUAGUUUGUUU
rnacentral:lncRNA from 1 species